AUAGCGGAACAAAAGUAUUUCUUCAUAGUCAUUUGGCAAGCAUUACAGUUGUUGCUUUCCAGAGAGCAGAGUCUGGUUACCCGGCUUUGUGAAUGGGUCAAUGCCAAGGCCAGAUAUCACACUGUUGGCCGACUGGAGAGGGGAAAGGAACAGAAUUGAGAAGAGGCUCCUUUGGACCACAGCGGCCUUGAGGGCUUUCCUACAGCCUGGGACAAACUGAAUAGUCUUUGCCUUGCCUGCUUCUCAGAGUAAAUGUUUAAGAUCCCAAUGAAGACAUCAAAAAGUGAAAGAAGCUAGAGACAGAGCAUGAGAGGGGAAGGAGCAGA